ACUCAAAUGAAUUGACGGGGAGGUGCACAAACAGCGGAGCGUGUCCUUUAAUUCGAUGCUAAGCGAAAAACCUUACCAGGGCUUGACAUCCUUGGAAUCUUGGCGAAAGUCGAGAGUGCCGCAAGGAACCAAGUGACAGGUGUUGCAUGGCCGUCGUCAGCUCGUGUCGUGAGAUGUUUGGUUAAGUCCAAUAACGAGCGCAACCCUUAUGAUUAGUUGUAUUUUUCUAGUCAGACUGCCCUGGCAACAGGGAGGAAGGAGGGGAUGAUGUCAGGUCUGUAUUACCCUUACGUCCUGGGCUAGAGACGCGCUACAAUGGUCGGUACAACGGGAAGCCAAAUCGCGAGAUGGAGCAAAUCCCACCAAAGCCGAUCUCAGUUCGGAUUGCAGGCUGAAACUCGCCUGCAUGAAGCUGGAGUUGUUAGUAAUCGCAGGUCAGCACACUGCGGUGAAUACGUUCCCACCUCUUGUACACACCGCCCGU
rnacentral:rRNA from 1 species